rnacentral:rRNA from 1 species
CUACGGGUCGCUGCAGUGAGGAAUAUUGCACAAUGGGGGGAACCCUGAUGCAGCAACGCCGCGUGGAGGAUGACGCAUUUCGGUGUGUAAACUCCUUUUAUAUGUCAAGAAAAUGACGGUAGCAUAUGAAUAAGCACCGGCUAACUCCGUGCCAGCAGCCGCGGUAAUACGGAGGGUGCAAGCGUUACUCGGAAUCACUGGGCGUAAAGGACGCGUAGGCGGGUUGGAAAGUCAGGUGUGAAAUCCUACAGCUUAACUGUAGAACUGCACUUGAAACGUCUAAUAUAGAGUAUGGGAGGGGGAGAUGGAAUUAGAGGUGUAGGGGUAAAAUCCGUAGAUAUCACUAGGAAUACCUAAAGCGAAGGCGAUCUCCUGGAACAUUACUGACGCUAAGGCGUGAAAGCGUGGGGAGCAAACAGGAUUAGAUACCCUCGUAGUC